UACAGAGGUCCCAAGCGUUGUUCGGAUUCAUUGGGCGUAAAGGGUGCGUAGGCGGCGCGGUAAGUCGGGUGUGAAAUCUCGGGGCUUAACUCCGAAACUGCAUUCGAUACUGUCGUGCUUGAGGACUGGAGAGGAGACUGGAAUUUACGGUGUAGCGGUGAAAUGCGUAGAUAUCGUAAGGAAGACCAGUGGCGAAGGCGGGUCUCUGGACAGUUCCUGACACUGAGACACGAAGGCCAGGGGAGCAAACGGG
rnacentral:rRNA from 1 species